GAUGAACGCUGGCGGCGUGCCUAAUACAUGCAAGUCGAGCGAACAGACGAGGAGCUUGCUCCUCUGACGUUAGCGGCGGACGGGUGAGUAACACGUGGAUAACCUACCUAUAAGACUGGGAUCACUUCGGGAAACCGGAGCUAAUACCGGAUAAUAUAUUGAACCGCAUGGUUCAAUAGUGAAAGACGGUUUUGCUGUCACUUAUAGAUGGAUCCGCGCCGCAUUAGCUAGUUGGUAAGGUAACGGCUUACCAAGGCAACGAUGCGUAGCCGACCUGAGAGGGUGAUCGGCCACACUGGAGCUGAGACACGGUCCAGACUCCUACGGGAGGCAGCAGUAGGGAAUCUUCCGCAAUGGGCGAAAGCUUGGCGGAGCAACGCCGCGUGAGUGAUGAAGGUCUUCGGAUCGUAAAACUCUGUUAUUAGGGAAGAACAAAUGUGUAAGUAACUAUGCACGUCUUGACGGUACCUAAUCAGAAAGCCACGGCUAACUACGUG
rnacentral:rRNA from 1 species